CAGUAGCCACGGUAACACGGAGGGUGCAAGCGUUAAUCGGAAUUACUGGGCGUAAAGCGCACGCAGGCGGUUUGUUAAGUCAGAUGUGAAAUCCCCGAGCUUAACUUGGGAACUGCAUUCGAAACUGGCAAGCUAGAGUCUUGUAGAGGGGGGUAGAAUUCCAGGUGUAGCGGUGAAAUGCGUAGAGAUCUGGAGGAAUACCGGUGGCGAAGGCGGCCCCCUGGACAAAGACUGACGCUCAGGUGCGAAAGCGUGGGGAGCGAACAGGAUUAGAUACCCCAGUAGUCCCUGUCUCUUAUAU
rnacentral:rRNA from 1 species